GAUGAAGAACGCAGCGAAAUGCGAUACUUGGUGUGAAUUGCAGAAUCCCGUGAACCAUCGAGUCUUUGAACACAAGUUGCGCCCGAAGCCACUAGGCCGAGGGCACGCCUGCCUGGGCGUCACACGCCGUUGCCCCCCCAUCUACUCCUUCGGGAUUGCGGGGGGGCGGAUGAUGGCCUCCCGUGCGCCUAGCCGCGCGGUUGGCAUAAAUACCAAGUCCUCGGCGACGCACGCCACGACAAUCGGUGGUUGCGAAACCUCGGUUGCCCGUCGUGUGCGUUCGUCGCGCAUCGAGGGCUCGAAAAAAUGCUCGGCUCCGGCUGGGCUUUCAACGCGACCCCAGGUCAGGCGGGGUUACCCGCUGAAUUUAAGCAUAUCAAUAAGCGGAGGA
rnacentral:misc_RNA from 1 species